rnacentral:rRNA from 1 species
AGUGAACGCUGGCGGUAGGCCUAACACAUGCAAGUCGAGCGGCAGCACAGUAAGAGCUUGCUCUUACGGGUGGCGAGUGGCGGACGGGUGAGGAAUAAAUCGGAAUCUACUUUUUCGUGGGGGAUAACGUAGGGAAACUUACGCUAAUACCGCAUACGACCUACGGGUGAAAGCAGGGGAUCUUCGGACCUUGCGCGAUUGAAUGAGCCGAUGUCGGAUUAGCUAGUUGGCGGGGUAAAGGCCCACCAAGGCGACGAUCCGUAGCUGGUCUGAGAGGAUGAUCAGCCACACUGGAACUGAGACACGGUCCAGACUCCUACGGGAGGCAGCAGUGGGGAAUAUUGGACAAUGGGCGCAAGCCUGAUCCAGCCAUACCGCGUGGGUGAAGAAGGCCUUCGGGUUGUAAAGCCCUUUUGUUGGGAAAGAAAAGCAGCAGGUUAAUACCCCGCUGUUCUGACGGUACCCAAAGAAUAAGCACCGGCUAACUUCGUG